rnacentral:rRNA from 1 species
AGAGUUUGAUCAUGGCUCAGAGCGAACGCUGGCGGCAUGCUUAACACAUGCAAGUCGCACGGGCAGGGCAACCUGUCAGUGGCGGACGGGUGAGUAACGCGUAGGAAUCUAUCUCUGGGUGGGGGACAACCGUGGGAAACUACGGCUAAUACCGCAUGAUACCUGAGGGUCAAAGGCGAAAGUCGCCUGGAGAGGAGCCUGCGUCCGAUUAGCUAGUUGGUGGGGUAAAGGCCUACCAAGGCUCCGAUCGGUAGCUGGUCUGAGAGGAUGAUCAGCCACACUGGGACUGAGACACGGCCCAGACUCCUACGGGAGGCAGCAGUGGGGAAUAUUGGACAAUGGGCGAAAGCCUGAUCCAGCAAUGCCGCGUGGGUGAAGAAGGUCUUCGGAUUGUAAAGCCCUUUCGACGGGGACGAUGAUGACGGUACCCGUAGAAGAAGCCCCGGCUAACUUCGUGCCAGCAGCCGCGGUAAUACGAAGGGGGCUAGCGUUGCUCGGAAUGACUGGGCGUAAAGGGCGCGUAGGCGGUUCGUACAGUUGGAUGUGAAAUUCCUGGGCUCAACCUGGGGGCUGCAUCCAAUACGUACGAGCUUGAGUUCGGAAGAGGGUCGUGGAAUUCCCAGUGUAGAGGUGAAAUUCGUAGAUAUUGGGAAGAACACCGGUGGCGAAGGCGGCGACCUGGUCCGAUACUGACGCUGAGGCGCGAAAGCGUGGGGAGCAAACAGGAUUAGAUACCCCCGUAGUCC